rnacentral:rRNA from 1 species
GACGAACGCUGGCGGCGUGCUUAACACAUGCAAGUCGAGCGGUAAGGCCCUUUCGGGGGUACACGAGCGGCGAACGGGUGAGUAACACGUGGGUGACCUGCCCUUAGCUCUGGGAUAAGCCUGGGAAACUGGGUCUAAUACCGGAUAUGACUCCAUGACGCAUGUUGUGGGGUGGAAAGCCUUGUGCGGCUAGGGAUGGGCCCGCGGCCUAUCAGCUUGUUGGUGGGGUGAUGGCCACCAAGGCGACGACGGGUAGCCGGCCUGAGAGGGCGACCGGCCACACUGGGGACUGAGACACGGCCCAGGACUCCUACGGGAGGCGAGCAGUGGGGAAGUCUUGCGGCAAUGGGCGGAAAGACCUGACGCAGCGACGCCGCGUGAGGGAUGACGGCCUC